CCCCGCGUCCCAAACUGCGCACAAUAGCGCGCCGGCUCCUCUAUCUAUUUUGUGUCCAGCCCGGAGCCGCGAACGAUGAUUCAUUGCCCCAAUUAGGGGCUCUCUCCAGCGCGCCCGGCUCGAGCCGUCUGAAGGGUCUCCUCAGGGGACCGCGGAAACCCAUCAGCGGCUACAGCUGGUCUUUAAGUAAAGGUCAAGCAGGACGCAGGACGCAGGAGGAGGCAGGGGUUGAGGAGGUUCUGCUACUGCCUGUCUGCAACCUGCGGUGAAGGGGACACUGUGACGCGGCCCCACUCAGAGUCUGAAGGAGGAGAGCCACAGAAGUCAACAGGAUAACAAGAGGGAGGUGGAAUUUUCUUGGCUAAACUGAAAUCAUCCAAGAGAAGUUCCUGAGACGCAAGCAUAGUGGAUUUGAAAAGCCACGACAGAUGCUCACAGGCAGACCCAGCGCUGGGAACCUGGAGGAAACACCUGCCCCCUUGGUCCUGCAGGAGCCCAGAAACCAUCAGUGCGGAGCAUCUGGGCAUAUCUCAGACUUGUGGCUUCCUGCAGGGUUGGCUCAGAAGCUUCAGGAAUCUGCCCUCGCCUGCUGGGAAAGUUAGUUUCCAGGAUCCAAGCACUUAGCACAGAAUGAAGCAAGCACUUCUCUACUCUCCUCAGAAAGAGCUUCAAAUAUAGCAGGCCACUGGCAAAAGUAUGUUCCUCUCAGAGGAAGGAAUGCAAUCGUUACCAAUAAAGAAAAACACAACCUGGGAUUUAUGGAGGCCUUGGGUUUAUGAACCAUUUCACACCUAUUAGGUCGUAUGACAUAGUACAGCAGGAAUCAAAUCACCAUCUCCAGAUGAGAGAUGAGGAAACUGAGGCUGAAGGGCACAGUUCCUGGGACCAAGGUGAGCUCCCAGCGGCUGGGGUUGGUGAAAUUUCCUUGCCUUUUGUAUGUGUAAACUGUGCUAGCUUAUUCAAUAUAAACAUUAAAAAAGAUGUGUGUUU